UCAUGGCUCAGAACGAACGCUGGCGGCAGGCUUAACACAUGCAAGUUGAGCGGGAUUGUUGAGUAGCUUGCUAUUAACAUGAGAGCAGCGCACUGGUGAGUAACACGUGGGAACAUACCUUUUGGUGGGGGACAACAGUUGGAAACGACUGCUAAUACCGCAUAAGCCCUAAGGGGGAAAGAUUUAUUGCCGAAAGAUUGGCCCGCGGAAGAUUAGGUAGUAGGUGGGGUAACGGCCUACCUAGCCGACGAUCUAUAGCUGGUCUGAGAGGACGAUCAGCCACAUUGGAACUGAGACACGGUCCAGACUCCUACGGGAGGCAGCAGUGAGGAAUAUUGGGCAAUGGAGGGAACUCUGACCCAGCCCAUGCCGCGUGAGUGAAGAAGGUUUUCGGAUUGUAAAACUCUUUCAGAUGGGAAGAUGAUGACGGUACCAUCAGAAGAAGCACCGGCUAACUUCGUGCCAGCCGCGGC
rnacentral:rRNA from 1 species